GCCUCCGUAGCUCAGUUGGUUAGAGCACAUGACUGUUAAUCAUGGGGUCAUAGGUUCGAGUCCUAUUGGGGGCGCCA
rnacentral:tRNA from 2 species